rnacentral:lncRNA from 1 species
AACACACAAAGGGAAGAUGUGUUUCCUAAAGAAACGCUUCAUUUUGCUUUGGCUCCAAGAGAAGGGUGAGCAGAAUCCUCCUUCAGGGGACAGGGAAGGCCAGGCACUCCUGAGGCAGAAUAAACCCAGGUGAAAGAAGGGAAAGCACUCAUACACAGAUGAUGACCAGAUGGACACAUCCUUCAAAGUCUUUCUAUCUUGGGGAUACUUUUCCUGGAUCUCAUUGAUUGUCAC